rnacentral:rRNA from 1 species
UACAGAGGUCCCAAGCGUUGUUCGGAUUCACUGGGCGUAAAGGGCGCGUAGGCGGUUCGUUAAGUCCUGUGUGAAAGCCCCCGGCUCAACUGGGGAGGGUCACGCGAUACUGAUCGACUCGAAGGCAGGAGAGGGUAGUGGAAUUCCCGGUGUAGUGGUGAAAUGCGUAGAUAUCGGGAGGAACACCAGUGGCGAAGGCGACUACCUGGCCUGUUCUUGACGCUGAGGCGCGAAAGCUAGGGGAGCAAACGGGG